rnacentral:rRNA from 1 species
GAUGAACGCUAGCGGCAGGCUUAACACAUGCAAGUCGAGGGGUAUAGUUCUUCGGAGCUAGAGACCGGCGCACGGGUGCGUAACGCGUAUGCAAUCUACCUUUUGCAGAGGGAUAGCCCAGAGAAAUUUGGAUUAAUACCUCAUAGUAUGUGAGAAUGGCAUCAUUUUCACAUUAAAGUCACAACGGCAAAAGAUGAGCAUGCGUCCCAUUAGCUUGUUGGUAAGGUAACGGCUUACCAAGGCAACGAUGGGUAGGGGUCCUGAGAGGGAGAUCCACCACACUGGUACUGAGACACGGACCAGACUCCUACGGGAGGCAGCAGUGAGGAAUAUUGGACAAUGGGCGCAAGCCUGAUCCAGCCAUGCCGCGUGCAGGAUGACGGUCCUAUGGAUUGUAAACUGCUUUUGUACAGGAAGAAACACUGGUUCGUGAACCAGCUUGACGGUACUGUAAGAAUAAGGAUCGGCUAACUCCGUGCCAGCCGCCGCCGUAAAAC